rnacentral:rRNA from 1 species
CCUACGGGAGGCUGCAGUGAGGAAUAUUGGUCAAUGGACGAAAGUCUGACCCAGCCACGUCGCGUGAGGGAUGACUGCCCUAUGGGUUGUAACCUUCUUUUAUAAAGGAAUAAAACGAGGCACGUGUGCCUUUUUGCAUGUACUUUAUGAAUAAGGAUCGGCUAACUCCGUGCCAGCAGCCGCGGUAAUACGGAGGAUGCGAGCGUUAUCCGGAUUUAUUGGGCUUAAAGGGAGCGUAGAUGGGUUGUUAAGUCAGUUGUGAAAGUUUGGGGCUCAACCGUAGAAUUGCACUUGAUACUGGCAGUCUUGAGUACAGGUGAGGUAGGUGGAAUUCGUGGUGUAGCGGUGAAAUGCGUAGAUAUCACGAAGAACCCCGAUGGCGAAGGCAGCUUACUA